rnacentral:rRNA from 1 species
GACGAACGCUGGCGGCGUGCUUAACACAUGCAAGUCGAACGGAAAGGCCCUGCUUUUGUGGGGGGCUCGAGUGGCGAACGGGUGAGUAACACGGGAGUAACCUGCCCUGGACUUUGGGAUAACUUCAGGAAACUGGGGCUAAUACCGGAUAGGAGCUCCUGCUGCAUGGUGGGGGUUGGAAAGUUUCGGCGGUUGGGGAUGGACUCGCGGCUUAUCAGCUUGUUGGUGGGGUGGUGGCUUACCAAGGCAUUGACGGGUAGCCGGCCUGAGAGGGUGACCGGCCACAUUGGGACUGAGAUACGGCCCAGACUCCUACGGGAGGCAGAAGUGGGGAAUAUUGCACAAUGGGCGGAAGCCUGAUGCAGCAACGCCGCGUGCGGGAUGACGGCCUUCGGGUUGUAAACCGCUUUCGCCUGUGACGAAGCGUGAGUGACGGUAAUGGGUAAAGAAGCACCGGCUAACUACGUG